UGGCUUAACUUCAAAUCCCACCAAUAUGCCUAAAAAUUGGUUGAUAUCGAUUAAUCAACCAUGGAGUUUUUGAAAGCAUUACAGUAGGAGUUCAAGGUUGACAAAAGAGUGUGCCUAGCUAAUUUAUUCAAUAGAGAACCCCAUGGCCAACGGAAACCCAACUCAAACCAAUAGGCAUGAAGCACCGAUGCAAUCUUCAAGACCACAGAUCUGUUUUGGCAAAGCGCAUCGCCGGCCUGCUCUUGGCAUGAGAAAUCUCCGACUGAGUCAGUUAGUCUUCGCAGCCAUGAGCGAAGGACGCCACUUAGUUGGACGACACGCUGAAGUCAGGCCCCUGUACAAGGAAAUCAUUUAAUAGCAAAGUUAGUUCAAACCCAUCUU